rnacentral:rRNA from 1 species
UUCAUGGAGGGUUUGAUCCUGGCUCAGGACUAACGCUGGUGGUGUGUCUUAGCCAUGCAAGUCGUGCGAACCUCCUUAUCCUGAUGGUAGCAAUACCUGACGGAUAAGGGGUUAGCGGCGAACGGGUGAGUAACACGUGAGUAACCUGUCCUGAAGCGGGGGAUAACUACGGGAAACCGUAGCUAAUACCCCAUACCGUCCAGAAAACACAAGUUUUCUGGAUGAAAGGUGGCCUCUGCUUGCAAGCUACCGCUUCAGGAGGGGCUCGCGGCCCAUCAGGUUGUUGGUAGGGUAAUGGCCUACCAAGCCUAAGACGGGUAGCCGGCCUGAGAGGGUGACCGGCCACACUGGGACUGAGACACGGCCCAGACUCCUACGGGAGGCAGCAGGCUAGAAAUUUGGGCAAUGGGCGAAAGCCUGACCCAGCGACACCAUGUGGGGGAUGAAGGCCUUCGGGUUGUAAACCCCUGUCAGGGAGGACGAUGCCUCAAUGGGUGAAU